UACAGAGGUCUCAAGCGUUGUUCGGAUUCAUUGGGCGUAAAGGGUGCGUAGGUGGCAUGGUAAGUUGAAGGUGAAAUCUCGGAGCUCAACUCCGAAACUGCCUUCAAUACUGCUGUGCUUGAGGACUGUAGAGGAGAAUGGAAUUCACGGUGUAGCAGUGAAAUGCGUAGAUAUCGUGAGGAAGACCAGUGGCGAAGGCGAUUCUCUGGACAUUUCCUGACGCUGAGGCACGAAAGCCAGGGGAGCAAACGGG
rnacentral:rRNA from 1 species